GACUGGGAUAACUUCGGGAAACCGGAGCUAAUACCGGAUACGUUCUUUUCUCGCAUGAGAGAAGAUGGAAAGACGGUUUACGCUGUCACUUAUAGAUGGGCCCGCGGCGCAUUAGCUAGUUGGUGAGGUAAUGGCUCACCAAGGCGACGAUGCGUAGCCGACCUGAGAGGGUGAUCGGCCACACUGGGACUGAGACACGGCCCAGACUCCUACGGGAGGCAGCAGUAGGGAAUCUUCCGCAAUGGACGAAAGUCUGACGGAGCAACGCCGCGUGAACGAAGAAGGCCUUCGGGUCGUAAAGUUCUGUUGUUAGGGAAGAACAAGUACCAGAGUAACUGCUGGUACCUUGACGGUACCUAACCAGAAAGCCACGGCUAACUACGUGCCAGCAGCCGCGGUA
rnacentral:rRNA from 1 species